rfam:Ipomoea nil DNA, scaffold: scaffold1262, cultivar: Tokyo-kokei standard.
GCGCUUGUAGCUCAGUGGAUAGAGCAUCUGUUUCCUAAGUAGAAAGUCAUAGGUUUGACCCCUAUCUGGCGCA